GACCACUCAAUGUAUGAACACACUAUAAAGUGUCGAGGUCCCACGCCUAAAAGAAAAAUGACAAAAACAAAAUUUGGAGAGCGAGAGUAGAAUCAAACAACCAAAUAUAUCCUUCCCAUGCACAUGAAGGAACGAAAGGAAAGCUGAUAAAAAAAAAUUGAACUCUUAUGUAUUUAGAAAUCGGAUAUGGAAGAAAACAUGAAGAAUUAAUCCAAAAAGAAAUAAAAUUUCUUCCAAAUAUCACUCAGAUGCACUAUUGAUACAAAAAUUUAAUUUAAAAUAAGCCAAAUAUAUAAGGGUGUAGUGCCUCAAAAUAACUUCAGUGAAUUAAUAGAGCGAAAACAAUAUACCCUUAUCGGAUACGUUACAAAUGAUAUGCAUGUUGGCUUCAAAAAUUCACAUAAUUACAAUGUAUUGCCUUAAUCCAAUUGACUGAGAGUAUUGAGUCUCAUGUUUUACAAAGUGUAGGGCUAUAUCAGAGCUAUCUUCUACACAAAAUCACACACAAAGGAAAAAAAUAGUAAGGUUACAAGCAUUACUCUUACAGUAUUGUCCAUAGAACCAGAGUAUAGCCUCUUUUCUCCAACGGUUAAGCAUAUAACAACACUGGUAUGACCUUCUAAAGAUGAGGCUAGCUCAAAAGGGUUUAGGUUCUCAGUACUCCCUUUCCAAGCCAAAAUGUCACCAUCCCAUAAUUAGAAGAAUAAGAAAGGACCUUCUUGUUCCCACUUGUAUUGAUAAAUAUGUCAACAACUUAAAAAAUUAUAUGUGCAAUUAUCUUCGCCCCUGAAAAAAAGCUUGUCCGAUCUUGAAGGGAGUGCAAUCCCAGAAACAGCCUGAGUAUGCCCUUGAGCUUUGCCAAAAUCAAAAAUCAAUUCCCACAAGACCAUGAAUGCAAGAAUGGCACCCAUCUUCUUUAACAUAUUUGUCUGACAUACGCUGCUCACAUGCCUUUUUUAAGCUCUUAAUAGUUUUAUCUUCAGAAGCAUUAUCCUCAACAAUGAGAACUGAUGAAUUAGAGGAUGCUUUAUGUUCGCCAUAUUCGCUGCCUCAAUGCCGGAACUGGAGCCCUCACGAGAGCAUUUAUAUUCAUACCCACCACCUCCAUUACUUGAAGCCAAAGAAUUCCUAGGAUUGGCGCUUUCCUAGUUGGAUCCUUAAUAACAUGAUUGGU
rnacentral:misc_RNA from 1 species